UACGGGGGGGGCAAGCGUUGUUCGGAAUUACUGGGCGUAAAGGGCUCGUAGGCGGCCAACUAAGUCGGACGUGAAAUCCCCAGGCUCAACCUGGGAACUGCGUCCGAUACUGGAUGGCUUGAAUUCGGGAGAGGGAUGCAGAAUUCCAGGUGUAGCGGUGAAAUGCGUAGAUAUCUGGAGGAAUACCGGUGGCGAAGGCGGCAUCCUGGACCGACAUUGACGCUGAUGAGCGAAAGCAUGGGGAGCGAACAGG
rnacentral:rRNA from 1 species